CUACGGGAUGCAGCAGUGGGGAAUAUUGCACAAUGGGCGCAAGCCUGAUGCAGCCAUGCCGCGUGUAUGAAGAAGGCCUUCGGGUUGUAAAGUACUUUCAGCGGGGAGGAAGGGAGUAAAGUUAAUACCUUUGCUCAUUGACGUUACCCGCAGAAGAAGCACCGGCUAACUACCGUGCCAGCAGCCGCGGUAAUACGGAGGGUGCAAGCGUUAAUCGGAAUUACUGGGCGUAAAGCGCACGCAGGCGGUUUGUUAAGUCAGAUGUGAAAUCCCCGGGCUCAACCUGGGAACUGCAUCUGAUACUGGCAAGCUUGAGUCUCGUAGAGGGGGGUAGAAUUCCAGGUGUAGCGGUGAAAUACGUAGAGAUCUGGAGGAAUACCGGUGGCGAAGGCGGCCCCCUGGACGAAGACUGACGCUCAGGUGCGAAAGCGUGGGGAGCAAACAGGAUUAGAUACCCUUGUAGUC
rnacentral:rRNA from 1 species